rnacentral:rRNA from 1 species
CCUACGGGUGGCAGCAGUGGGGGAUCUUGCACAAUGGGGGGAACCCUGAUGCAGCGACGCCGCGUGGGUGAAGAAGCGCUUCGGCGCGUAAAGCCCUGUCAGCAGGGAAGAAAAUGACGGUAACUGAAGAAGAAGCCCCGGCUAACUUCGUGCCAGCAGCCGCGGUAAUACGUAGGGGGCAAGCGUUAUCCGGAUUUACUGGGUGUAAAGUGGGCGCAGACGGCUGUGCAAGCCAGGUGUGAAAGCCCGGGGCCCAACCCCGGGACUGCACUUGGAACUGGGUGGCUGGAGUGCAGGAGGGGACGGCGGAACUCCUGGUGUAGCGGUGGAAUGCGUAGAUAUAAGGAGGAACACCAGUGGCGAAGGCGG